CUACAGCGUUUCUUGUAGAAAGGGAACGGUUUUUCUACCUGCGCGUGUACUAAGGUGCUUAGGUUCUAUAACCUUGCAGAAUAAACUGUCCAAGCAUUUAAGUUCGUUUUUGACAUCCACCACGGAAAGACGUACGAGAGAAACCCCCAAGAAAAAAAUCAAGACCUGGCAUCGCUGAUUGAUCAUCGAAAUUGCGGCCGUCAUCGUGGAAACCGUGCAGCAGCUUUUUUUUCACGUGAAAUUACAACAAUUUAUACAACAAUGAUGCACUCAAUACAUAUACUUUAAAAAAAUCAUUUAGUAUUCUUCAUAAACUUAUUUAUUUAUAAAAAACAACCGGACCGAUUAGUUUAUUUGAA